AUUGAACGCUGGCGGCAUGCUUUACACAUGCAAGUCGAACGGUAACAGGCCGCAAGGUGCUGACGAGUGGCGAACGGGUGAGUAACGCAUCGGAACGUGCCCAGUCGUGGGGGAUAACGCAGCGAAAGCUGCGCUAAUACCGCAUACGAUCUCUGGAUGAAAGCGGGGGACCGAAAGGCCUCGCGCGAUUGGAGCGGCCGAUGUCAGAUUAGGUAGUUGGUGGGGUAAAGGCUCACCAAGCCAACGAUCUGUAGCUGGUCUGAGAGGACGACCAGCCACACUGGGACUGAGACACGGCCCAGACUCCUACGGGAGGCAGCAGUGGGGAAUUUUGGACAAUGGGCGCAAGCCUGAUCCAGCAAUGCCGCGUGCAGGAAGAAGGCCUUCGGGUUGUAAACUGCUUUUGUACGGAACGAAACGGUCCUGGUUAAUACCUGGGGCUAAUGACGGUACCGUAAGAAUAAGCACCGGCUAACUACGUGCCAGCAGCCGCCGUAAAAC
rnacentral:rRNA from 1 species